CACGUGUCUGCAAUUCACAUAGAUUUCCUGCGAGUCGUUGUUUUUGUCUGACGUGUGGGAUGUGGGAGAGCGGAGUCAGAAGCUAAGCUUAGGGGCCUAGGAAAGGCAUCCCAGAGACGGCCACUGAAGUCCUCCUUGGAAAGAAUCUCGAAGACGACCCUGAUGGUCCAAUUCCCCAGCUCCUGGCAAGGGAACCGCUCCUGCUCCCUGCGAUUCCCAAGGACAGAGCUAGGAACUAGGCCUCCAGUCUGGGCGACUAAUCAAGAGGAAGGAACGUUCAAGAGCCGCCCCUUGGCCUCUAAUAAACCAAUGCAAGCUGCCGUUUCCUUAGUCCCGCCUCCGUCUCAAGUUUUCCCUUUCCUCUCCGUUUCCUCCCUCGAACCUAAUUUGUGUCUGAAAACUUUUGAGAGCCGCCCUCCAAUGGCGGCUGCGCCAAUGGCUUGAGCAACCGUCCUGGAUUGACCAAUCAGCGUCCGCAUUAUUGGAAAACUCAAUUCCCAGAUAGCCAAUGGGAA
rnacentral:lncRNA from 1 species